rnacentral:lncRNA from 1 species
UCCCUUAAAACGAGAGGGCCUGCUUUCCUCUUUGACCUUCUCUAACAAGCAGACCCUUGAAAUGCAGCGUUUCCAGAAUGUAAGCUGUAGGAGCAACAGAUGGGUUUAGUAAAUUACAGCUUGCAGAUGAGUUGUAUGAAAAGUAAGUUUGGGAUGAAGACUUAAAAUACACAGAGAUCUUCUGUGCUGCAGCUUGUUCCUUGCUGUCAAAUGCUGCCUGCUAAACGCAUGGCUUGUGUGAUGUUGGUUUUCUCCAUGGAUUGACUGGGACAAGCAGUUCCACCCCAAAUAAGCUGCUCCCUGGGUCUCAGCCUGCAAUCUCGCUCAGACAGAAGACUGUGUCCUCUAGGGUGCCAGGAGGCAGCUAAAAUGUGAAGAAACUCUCGCUUAGCUUUUUCUGCUGAGAUGAAAUUUAGCACCAAAGUGCAAUCCCUGAGGCAGCAGCUUCAUUCUGUGAAGCAGGGGUUCUGAUGUCUGCUGGUGGCUGUGCAUGCUGUCUGCUUGGAGCAAAGAGAGCAUUCAGCUCACUGGAACAGCAGGAGAAAUGUGUAGGAAACAAAGAUGCACCACCAUAGGCACCUCCAUUGAAAAUAAUAAAGCAGAACUCAUGAGAUCGAAUGUGCCAUGGAAAUCCCUUUGUGUCAUUGGAGCUCCAUCUUUCUCACUCAAACUAAGCAAAUUCCUGGGUGAAUCUGUAGCUCUGGGAGUGAAAAACAAGCAAAGUGGACUCUUCCCCAUUCCCACCAAAGGCUUCUGUCAGCAGAGUGGAAUUGCAUCAUCUCAGUGGAGCUUCCGGGCAAGGUUGGCCACUAACUGUUGUUGUGGGUUUAAAAAUCCAGAAAGCUGUAUCAUAACAACAUCCGUAGUUUUGCAGUUGCAUUGCACUUGGUUAAGUGUUGGCUUUGAUCUUCCCAGAAAACCUAACCAUAGCCAGCUAUGUAAUGAGCAAGGGAAGGAUUUCUCAGGUCUGCUGGCCCAUCCCCUGAACCACUGCAGGAAAAACGUCGUCUGUCGUUCUAGUGAGAAACCUUGAAAUCUGCUCUUAUAGACUUCCCAUGAUGGAAACUCGCAUCUCCUCCAUGCAGCCUGUUCCAGGGCAUCCCUGUCUCCUGAGAGUUUCCAUAUAGUUUGGUUUUUUGAUUCUCUCCUGCCAAGGUUGAACUCUGUCUUCCUCCAUUGCAUCACCUGAGCAUUGUUCACUACCAUCUUUUCACCAGGUGCAUCUGGUGGUGUCUGCUGGUGCUCACUCCUUUUUUUUGUACUACUUGUCACUUGCCCAUGUUGAUCUACAUCUGUUGUUAUUUCUGUUGUGAAGAUCAUGUUGAACUUUGGUCUUGCCCUUCAAUAUACUGGCAGGGAAUUCCACAAUCUUAUAAUCUGCAAAACUAAAGAUGUCCUUUCUGUCUGAUCAUCCUUGAUUUUAGGGAAAGCAUUGAACAAAAUUGAAUCUUAGUUUCCUGUAGACCUGCUCUUGAUGUGUCCACUUGAUAGUGAGUUGCAGGUGCUUGCCCUCUGGGUGUUACUGGGAACGGGUAUCUGCUUUGGCACCUAUGCUGAAGAUUUGCUCAAACCUUAUGAAACGUAUAGAGCUAAAAGUGGCCAAACAGCUCCAGCUGUUCUACUUAAACCUGAUGAAAUGGGAUGCUUUUGUGCCUGAACAAUUAUAUUUCUUGCCAGAGUUGGGAGUUACUACAGCCCUCUGAGGGCACAAGCACUGCCUUCUUUGGGAACUGGAAAUAGCCUGAGAGCCGCUGUCUCAUGAGAUUUCCAGUUCAUACAAACGAGCUCCUGUGUGGGUAGGAAGCAUUGUGGUAAAGGGAUCUGAAGAUGAGAAGGGGCAGAAAACUUUUGAACCCGAAGCGUGAGCUGAAGCUCAUUCAGGUUGAUGGAAAGUCUCUGACUGGCAGCUCGUGGCCAUGCGGAGGGCUGCUAAAAAAGCAGAGCGAGGAGAGAAAAAAUAAACGUCUUGUUGAAGCAAAAAGAUUGUUGAGA